UAUGGCGACCAGCGCACGGGUGAGUAACACGUAUCCAACCUGCCGAUGACUCGGGGAUAGCCUUUCGAAAGAAAGAUUAAUACCCGAUGGCAUAGUUCUUCCGCAUGGUGGAACUAUUAAAGAAUUUCGGUCAUCGAUGGGGAUGCGUUCCAUUAGGUUGUUGGCGGGGUAACGGCCCACCAAGCCUUCGAUGGAUAGGGGUUCUGAGAGGAAGGUCCCCCACAUUGGAACUGAGACACGGUCCAAACUCCUACGGGAGGCAGCAUG
rnacentral:rRNA from 1 species